UACGGGGGGGGCAAGCGUUGUUCGGAAUUACUGGGCGUAAAGGGCUCGUAGGUGGCCAACUAAGUCAGACGUGAAAUCCCUCGGCUUAACCGGGGAACUGCGUCUGAUACUGGAUGGCUUGAGUUUGGGAGAGGGACGCGGAAUUCCAGGUGUAGCGGUGAAAUGCGUAGAUAUCUGGAGGAACACCGGUGGCGGAGGCGGCAUCCUGGACCGAGAUUGACGCUGAGGCGCGAAAGCCAGGGGAGCAAACGGG
rnacentral:rRNA from 1 species